AGCGAACGCUGGCGGCAGGCCUAACACAUGCAAGUCGAACGAACCUUUCGGGGUUAGUGGCGGACGGGUGAGUAACACGUGGGAACGUGCCUUUAGGUUCGGAAUAACUCAGGGAAACGUGUGCUAAUACCGAAUGUGCCCUCCGGGGGAAAUAUUUAUCGCCUUUAGAGCGGCCCGCGUCUGAUUAGCUAGUUGGUUGAGGUAAUGGCUCACCAAGGCGACGAUCAGUAGCUGGUCUGAGAGGAUGAACAGCCACAUUGGGACUGAGACACGGCCCAAACUCCUACGGGAGGCAGCAGUGGGGAAUCUUGCGCGAUGGGCGAGAGCCUGACGCAGCCAUGCCGCGUGAAUGAUGAAGGUCUUAGGAUUGUAAAAUUCUUUCACCGGUGACGAUAAUGACGGUACCCGGAGAAGAAGCCCCGGCUAACUUCGUG
rnacentral:rRNA from 1 species